CUUGCUCACAUCAUUAUGCUUAUCUAUGUCGUUCGUCAUGCGUAUUCUUGCACAAACCACUAUAAAAAGGCUUAAGAGAUCCACGGAAGAAUUGCUUAUCCCAAAAUGAAGGCCUUGGUUAUCACUUGCAUUCUCUUGUUUUCUUUUAUCAUCAUUCCCUCUCCAAUUGUAGCUCGAGAGUUGACUCAUCAUGGCAAAAUUGGUGGUGGCGAACCUGAAGUUGUCUUUGCGACCAAGAUACCAAUAUGCAAGGGCAAGCAAAGUAAAAAAUAUAAUCACUGUCGGUGCCCUACAUACAAGCCUAACUGCUAAGUCUCCAAAUAAAUCCUUAGAGAAAUAAUGUGUAAUAUAUAUAUAUAUAUAUAUAUAUAUAUAAUAAAAUGCUAUGUGAUCAAUACAUAACGAGCUGCUUUGUCUAGCUAUCACAUAUUGUGUAAUAUGUUUAAUAAUUCCAAAGCUGUAAGUGUAGUCUGUGAUGAUAUUUCUACAAUAAAUAACGCUGGUUAUU